rnacentral:rRNA from 1 species
CCCAACCUCCCACCCGUGUUUACUGUACCUUAGUUGCUUCGGCGGGCCCGCCAUUCAUGGCCGCCGGGGGCUCUCAGCCCCGGGCCCGCGCCCGCCGGAGACACCACGAACUCUGUCUGAUCUAGUGAAGUCUGAGUUGAUUGUAUCGCAAUCAGUUAAAACUUUCAACAAUGGAUCUCUUGGUUCCGGCAUCGAUGAAGAACGCAGCGAAAUGCGAUAACUAGUGUGAAUUGCAGAAUUCCGUGAAUCAUCGAGUCUUUGAACGCACAUUGCGCCCCCUGGUAUUCCGGGGGGCAUGCCUGUCCGAGCGUCAUUGCUGCCCAUCAAGCACGGCUUGUGUGUUGGGUCGUCGUCCCCUCUCCGGGGGGGACGGGCCCCAAAGGCAGCGGCGGCACCGCGUCCGAUCCUCGAGCGUAUGGGGCUUUGUCACCCGCUCUGUAGGCCCGGCCGGCGCUUGCCGAACGCAAAUCAAUCUUUUUCCAGGUUGACCUCGGAUCAGGUAGGGAUACCCGCUGAACUUAAGCAUAUCAUA